UAAGUCUACAAGUUCUCAUUUCUGCCUGC
rnacentral:piRNA from 1 species